CCUUCUUUGAUUGACAGUUUUUGCAAAGUCAUUUUUGAUUUUAUGCUAACAAGUAGGGUUUUAUCAAGACCGUCUUUAACUUUACACAUAUACUCUAGAAAUUUGAUUCUCUACGCACGAACCCCUUACUCUCGUGCUGCGACUUGCAACAACCAGACCUGGAGAAGACCCGGUUCAGAGAAAAUAAAUGACCCGGUUCACAACCCUAUUGGGCCUAACCCUAUUUCGACUUCGGCUUUGGGCACUCAAUUUUAACCUUUGAUGUUAUAUUUAUUGUAUUGUAUCUCAGUUGUCAAAUGGUAAGGUCUUUCUACAAGAACAAAUAGGGUGAAAUUGCGUAACCUUCUUGCUGCUGCAGAGGGUGCAGAUCUUUUGAAGGCACGAAAGAAGCAUUUGCGUUUUCAAAGGAGCAAGAUUAUUUUGGUUGGAGAAACCUAAUAAUUAUUUUGCUUUGAAAAUUAGGAAAUAAUUUAUUUUUAAUUUUUGGAGCACUAUUAUUUAAAAACAAAUUUGUAUUAAUAGUUGAUCGUGAAUCUUAAUUGGUCUUCUUAUUUGCGUUUCAAUUCUUGAUUUGACUACCAUGCCAUGGUCAAUAUUGUAUUUUGAAUAUAGUUUUUUUUAUUGGAUCAAUUAACUGAUAUUAUUGUUUCUCACUGAUAUACGUGAACGUAAGUAUGAGAAGAUGGGAAUUGGAAGCAGUUACCUUUUUAGACUUGAUGAUGGUUAUGUGGUUAGUAUAUAUUGUUGUAGUAUUUAAAUUUUAGAUUUUGGAAGUUUCACUUAUCUUGCUUCUCUAAGGUAAUUAUAGAGUCAUUGCUAUUUGAAAUGUAAUGAAGUUUAUGGUAAAGCCAACAUUUCUACGAAGGGGCUAGUGGAUGGUUAACUAAAUAGAUAGUUGUGGUUUUCUUAAUAUGAUCAUUGGGUGAUUCAUCAAGACAUCAUCGCCACUUGACUUUGAGAACUAAAAUAGAUAGUUGUGGUUUUCUUAUUUGGCUCGCACAGACUCUUUUUGUAAGGCAAUCUAGAGUUCCAGACACAUGAUAACUGUUUUAUGACUGGUUAGACCACUACAUAAGCUUAAAUAAGACCUAAUAAACAAAAAUCUUAUCCAAAUGAAGUGUUAGAUUACAUUUAUUUUUGCAUGUCUGCUAAUUAAUAUUCUCUAGAUAAAGUGUAUAUUGAUAAAUUCGAAUCCAAUGACAACUAUUGAAAUGCUACAUUUGCUUUCCUUGUUUGAGUAUAUGUAGGUUGAUGCUACUAAGAGAGGUAGGAUUGCAAGAUUACCACUCUUGUGAGGUACUUGUGUACUUUUAAAUGCAUUUUUUUUAUCCACACAUUUAAGGAAGUAUUUUGGGCAUAUGCAUGUGUCACUUCUAUUCUUCAUUUCACGUUCUUCCUGAUUUGAACUAGAGUUUUUGGCAGCCCAACUGCUAUACAAAGGUUAUAUCUGUUGAGGGUCAAAAGAAAAUUUUCAUAUAUGCGAAAUGGCAUCGCUAAGUUUGCUUGUGAUAUUUUAUUUUCAGGUAGGUGACAAUUUUAUAAUUAUAUUUUAACAUUAAAUAGUCACAAAAAAUGUUCUCUCAAACCAAAUAGGCUCUAAUAUUGGGUGCCUCCAGCCAUCCUCUGUAAUAUGUUUUAACUGUUAGUACUCUUCUCUCUGAAAACAAUAGAUGGAUCUUUGUCUUCUGAUGCAUCCAAUGUUUGAUGGGAUUGAUUUUAGUUUUAGAGGCCUUUGUAUAAUAUUUGCUAAAAAGAUAGUGGCUAGAAGGUUUGGGGUUGACAAACAAGCAACUCUUGAUGAAUGAAAUUUGUUUCCAAUGGCCACCAAGCAUUUUGCCUUCAAUAUUUCUCUGCUAUUCCCUUGUUUAUUGUUUCCAUGAUUUUCCUGAAUCCUUGUCCCUAUCUUAUAGGAAAAUGCUAAACAAUAUGAUUUGUGUCAUAAGGACACUAAUUAAGGAAGUAAAAAGAAAAAAUAUUUUAUUAGAAUGUGUCAAAAUGCGUUCUCGCUCUCACAUGAUGUUCAAUAAAAACUUAUCUUGUAUAUGCCAUGGUUUGACUUGGGAUACCUUUUGAAAUUAACCCUAUAUAUAUGUAUGCAAUUGGCUAAGGUAAGUAAGUAAUAUCCAAGCCAUAACUCAAGUACAGCGUUGAUGACCUUAAUAGCAGCAAUACAAGCCAUAGUCUAUGCCUUCUGUUUUGAGACAGAUUUGAGUCAAUGGAAGUUGGGUUCAGGUAUCAGGCUUCUAAUAGCACUUUAUACGGGAAUUGUGGCUACUGGAUUAGUGAACAUUGCCACUUCAUGGUGUGUACCGAACAGAGGUCCAUUGCUUGCAUCUAUUUUCUACCCCCUUUGCCCUGUGCUCGUGGCUUUUGCUAGUUCCCUGUUAUUACAAGAGCACCUAUACUUAGGAAGAAGUACCAGAAGUACAACUGCAGUGCAGUGGAGACCACCUGUCCAAUUAACGACACUCAGAACUAUCAGGAAUGUUCCAGAUUAAAAGCAAGGGUAGAAGUUUUGCAACGUUCUCAGAGGAACCUAUCCGGGGAAGAUCUUGCCCAAAUGACCUAGAGCAACUUGAGAAUCAACUGGAGGCAGCACUGAGGAAUAUUAGGUCAACAAAGACUCAAUUCAUGCUUGACCAGCUUUCUGAUCUUCAUCACCGGGUAGAUGUGUGUUUUUUCUUCCUUAGAACAUUCUGAUACCGUCCUAUUCUUUGGUGUAACCUUGGCUUUUACAAAUUCAAUGCUGGAAACAUUGCUUAUUGAAACCAAUAAUGUGUUAAGGAGUAAGGUAAUAAUUAUUUCCA